ensembl:lincRNA
GGGAACUAUCACAGGAAAGAGAAUGGAAUCAAGAAUGACCACGGGCUCUUCUUGAAGUCACAGGGACAAAAACCUCCUAGCCAGAUAAAUGUAUAAGAAGAAGAGCCAUAGAAAAUAUUUAUAAAACACCAUUUUCCUUGCUAACAUUAUAGAUAGCUCUCUUCCUCUCCAGUCAUUUUCUUUAAAAAAAGGUUUUAAAUCUUGUCUUCAAGUUACCUGAGCUAAACAAUAUCAUUCACAAAACAUUUUUACCUUUUCAGCAUUGGAACGAAUACAUUUCACAAAAUACGGUUCUGCUUGACCUAGUGUCUCCAUCAGCUUGCUUAAUGAUGCCUACAAUUCAAAGUAAUAAAUUCAAAAUUAACAGACACCGGAGGCACUGACAUCUGGGACAUCUGGCCUCAUCCCUAACUUGAACACCCGCUUCCUGUGCACUAGGCUAGCUAGAGGAAUCUUAAGCUUCCCUGAAAGCAACCAUAGCUCUGAAAAAGGCUCGGAGAACUGCCCACCGGAAAACAGCCACAGGAUCAAUUCCAAUCAUCCCAGAGAUAAAUGCAUUCUUGCUACUUCUCAGAAGAGCUACAAUGUCUGGCCGCAUAUGAUCUGUAUUUUUUUCCCGGAAAUCCUGUUUCAGAAAAGUACUAACAGUUAUUUGGGAAAAGAUGCUAAUAUCAAGAGGAUGACAGAUGACAUAUUUGAUGUGUGGCUGAAUAAAGAUAAUAAAAGUGAACUUUCUUCUAGGUAACUAAAUGAAACAGCUAUCUUCUAUAAAGUACCAGCUGAUUCUAAAAGUACUGAAUUCUGUAAUACAUAUGUUAGAAUAUUUCACAAUUUUAGCACAGCUUUUUAGGUAAUGAUUAGGGUCAGCCUUUCCAAAGGGAUGUAUUACAGAAAAUGGUUAUGGACAGAAAACGAAAAGGAGCCAACAUAAGACCAGGAAGAGCACUGCAAGCAAAUGAGCAUAUCAGCUACUCUUUGUAGCAAUAAAUUGACCAAGUUAAGAGAAAAACAAUAAGGCCAGGGGCUGGAGAAUUGUGGUGAAAAGGUAACUGGUAGAAAAUUAGGCAAAUAAUAGCACAUUUAGGCUCUGUUAGACUGAGUUAAGAAUUUUAUUAUACUUCAUGUAAACGUAAAGCAAAGCAACUAGGUAAUGACAGCAGCCAACUGGUGUUUUAUGAACAUCUGCUGUUGUAUAAGAAGAAAAGAGUAUACAUAAGAAAUAGAAAAAGGGAGAACAAAUACUGUGCUAACCACAGAAGAACCAUCUGUCAGUGGCUUGGGGUAGGUAGGUAAUAAAAUAAAUAGCAAAGAAUUAUCAUAUUCAGGGUAUGUUUAGGAGAUAAAGGCAAAGGACUUCCUGAUGAAUUAGGGUAUGAGAAUGCAGAAAUUAUAUUAACAGCCAGGCGUGGUGGCUCACGCCUGUAAUCCCAGCACUAGGGAGGCUGAGGCAGGAGGAUGCUGUGAGUUUGAGAACAGCCUGGGCUACACAGUGACUUCCACGUCAGUCUCAACUACACAGUGAGACCCUGUCUCAAAAAACGAAAAAAGAAAAGAAAUUAGAUUAAUACCUUUAUGCCCCUAUGCACAGUAAGUGGAAGUGCAGGGAUCAAACACAGCUACCCACAGCACAACUAUACUACAUUUGCAUAGAAUUUCUUUAUGAGUGAUUAGAAAU